rnacentral:lncRNA from 1 species
ACUUUGUCCGCCGGACUCGGAAUGUCGCGAGACUUUGCGAGGCGCCUCCGUGUGCCAAAAAUAGGCCGCGGGCACAACCACGUCCAAAAAUAACCACCCGAAGGCCGGGGCGCCAAGUUCGUCCAGCAGAAAAAGCCCACAAAAACGGGUGGGCUAUAGCCUUGGGGGGUGGGGCUGGCCAACUUCGUCCGCCGGACUCGGAAUGGCGAGAGACGUUGCUAGGUGCCUCCGUGUGCCAAAAAUAGGCCGCAGGCACAGCAGUGCUCAAAAAUACCCGCCCGAAGGGCGGCGCGCCAAGUUCGUCUAGCGGAAAAAGGCCACAAAAACGGGUGGGCUAUAACCUUGGGGGGUGGGGCUGGCCAACUUCGUCCGCCGGACUCGGAAUGCCGUGAGACUUUGCGAGGCGCCUCCGUGUGCCAAAAAUAGGCCGCGGGCACAGCCGCGCCCAAAAAUAACAACCCGAAGGCCGGGGCGCCAAGUUCGUCCAGCGGAAAAGGGCCACAAAAACGGGUGGGCUAUAGCCUUGGGGGGUGGGGCUGGCCAAAUUCGUCCGCAGCACUCGGAAUGGCGCGAGACUUUGCGAGGCGCCUCCGUGUGCCAAAAAUAGGCCGCGGGCACAACCGCGCCCAAAAAUAACCGCCCGAAGGCCGGGGCACAAAAUUUGUCCAGCGGAAAAAGGCCACAAAAAUGGGUGGGCUAUAGCCUUGGGGGGUGGGGCUGGCCAAUUUCGUCCGCCGGACUCGGAAUGGUGCGAGACUUGGCGAGGCACCUCCGUGUGCCAAAAAUUGGCCGCGGAAAAAGCCGCGCCCAAGAAUAACCGCCCGGAAGCCGGGGCGCCAAGUUCAUCCAGCGGAAAAAGGCCACAAAAACGGGUGGGCUAUAGCCUUGGGGGGUGGGGCUGGCCAACUUCGUCCGCCGGACUCGGAAUGGGGUGAGACGUUGCAAGGCACCUCCGUGUACCAAAAAUAGGCCGCGGGCACAGCCGCGCCCAAAAAUAACCGCCCGAAGGCCGGGGCGCCAAGUUCGUCCAGCGGAAAAAGGCCACAAAAACGGGUGGGCUAUAGCGUUGGGGGGUGGGGCUGGCCAACUUUGUCCGCCGGAUUUGGAAUGGCGCGACACUUUGCGAGCCACCACUGUGUACCAAAAAUAGGCCGCGGGCACAGCCGCGCCCAAAAAUAACCUCCCGAAGGCCGGGACGCCAAGUUCGUCCGGGAAAAAGGCCACAAAAACGGGUGGGCUAUAGCCUUGGGGGGUGGGGCUUGCCAACUUCGUCCGCCGGACUCGGAAUGGAGAGAGACCUUGCGAGGUGCCUCCGUGUGCCAAAAAUAGGCCGCGGGCACAGCAGUGCUCAAAAAUACCCACCCGAAGGCCGGGGGGCCAAGUUCGUCUAGCGGAAAAAGCCACAAAAACGGGUGGGCUAUAACCUUGGGGGGUGGGGCUGGCC